UGCUCUGUGAUUACAUGCCUUCUCAGGCAAUAUACGCUAUUCUGAAACUCAAUAAUGUGGAUAGAUCUAUUGAAUGAGAAUGAGAGCU